rnacentral:lncRNA from 1 species
CUCCGCCUGCAGUGUGGCCCGUCCGGACAGUCCCUCACCCCGGCCUGCGCUGCUGCGUGGACUCGGGCCUCAGGAAUUCCGCUGCGGCCCAAGGCUUGCCGUUUGACGAGGAGCAGUCGCGGUAGGCGGUGGGCAAGGCUGCCCUGGGCGGAGGCCGAGGCGCGGCUCGGACUCCAGCAUGGCGACCGCGGUGCGCGCUGUGGGCUGCCUCCCCGUGCUGUGUAGCGGGACGGCAGGUCAUUUAUUGGGGAGGCAGUGUUCCCUAAACACCUUACCAGCAGCUUCCAUUUUGGCAUGGAAGAGUGUUCUCGGCAAUGGCCAUUUGUCAUCACUGGGAACCAGAGACACCCAUCCCUACGCCAGCUUGAGCCGUGCACUGCAGACACAAUGCUGUAUUUCUUCUCCCAGUCACCUGAUGAGCCAGCAGUAUAGACCAUAUAGUUUCUUCACUAAAUUGACUGCAGAUGAGCUGUGGAAAGGCGCUUUAGCAGAGACUGGUGCUGGAGCAAAAAAAGGAAGAGGCAAAAGAAC